rnacentral:rRNA from 1 species
UACGUAGGGGGCAAGCGUUGUCCGGAUUUAUUGGGCGUAAAGAGCGUGUAGGCGGCUAAAUAGGUCCGUUGUGAAAACUCGAGGCUCAACCUCGAGAUGCCGAUGGAAACCAUUUGGCUAGAGUCCGGAAGAGGAGAGUGGAAUUCCCGGUGUAGCGGUGAAAUGCGCAGAUAUCGGGAAGAACACCCGUGGCUAAGGCGGCUCUCUAGUACGGUACUGACGCUGAGACGCGACAGCGUGGGGAGCAAACAGG